UACGGGGGAUGCAAGCGUUAUCCGGAUUUAUUGGGUUUAAAGGGUGCGUAGGCUGUGAGGUAAGUCAGUGGUGAAAUGCCCCCGCUCAACGGGGUGAAGUGCCAUUGAUACUGCCUUGCUGGAAUGCGGAUGCCGUGGGAGGAAUGUGUGGUGUAGCGGUGAAAUGCAUAGAUAUCACACAGAACACCGAUUGCGAAGGCAUCUCACGAAUCCGCGAUUGACGCUGAUGUACGAAAGCGUGGGUAUCAAACAGG
rnacentral:rRNA from 1 species